rnacentral:rRNA from 1 species
GACGAACGCUGGCGGCGUGCCUAAUACAUGCAAGUAGAACGCACAGUUUAUACCGUAGCUUGCUACACCAUAGACUGUGAGUUGCGAACGGGUGAGUAACGCGUAGGUAACCUGCCUGGUAGCGGGGGAUAACUAUUGGAAACGAUAGCUAAUACCGCAUAAUAUUGAUUAUUGCAUGAUAAUUAAUUGAAAGGUGCAAUUGCACCACUACCAGAUGGACCUGCGUUGUAUUAGCUAGUAGGUGAGGUAACGGCUCACCUAGGCGACGAUACAUAGCCGACCUGAGAGGGUGAUCGGCCAACCUGGGACUGAGACACGGCCCAGACUCCUAAGGGAGGCAGCAGUAGGGAAUCUUCGGCAAUGGACGAAAGUCUGACCGAGCAACGCCGCGGGAGUGAAGAAGGUUUUCGGAUCGUAAAGCUCUGUUGUAAGAGAAGAACGGGUGUGAGAGUGGAAAGUUCACACUGUGACGGUAGCUUACCAGAAAGGGACGGCUAACUACGUG